rnacentral:rRNA from 1 species
GUGCCAGCCGCCGCGGUAAUACCGGCAGCCCGAGUGAUGGCCGAUCUUAUUGGGCCUAAAGCGUCCGUAGCUGGCUGCGCAAGUCCGUCGGGAAAUCCACUCGCUUAACGAGUGGGCGUCCGGCGAAAACUGUGCGGCUUGGGACCGGAAGAUCCAAGGGGUACGUCCGGGGUAGGAGUGAAAUCCCGUAAUCCUGGACGGACCACCGAUGGCGAAAGCACUCUGAGAAGACGGCUUCGACGGUGAGGGACGAAAGCUAGGGCCUCAAACCGGAUUAGAACCCUAGUGUCC